UUACGGCCACAUCAUGUUGAAACACUGGUUCCCGUACGAUCACUGAAGUUACACAAUGUCAAGCCAGGGUCAGUACUUCUACUGGUGACUGCUUGGGAAUACCAGGUGCUGCUG